GAUCAUGGCUCAGAUUGAACGCUGGCGGCAGGCUUAACACAUGCAAGUCGAACGGUAGCAGGUAAGUACUUGUACUUAUGCUGACGAGUGGCGGACGGGUAAGUAAUGCUUGGGGAUCUGGCUUAUGGAGGGGGGAUAACGACGGGAAACUGUCGCUAAUACCGCGUAGAAUCGAGAGAUGAAAGUGUGGGACCUUCGGGCCACAUGCCAUAGGAUGAACCCAAGUGGGAUUAGGUAGUUGGUGGGG
rnacentral:rRNA from 1 species